rnacentral:rRNA from 1 species
AUUGAACGCUGGCGGCAUGCCUUACACAUGCAAGUCGAACGGCAGCACGGGUGCUUGCACCUGGUGGCGAGUGGCGAACGGGUGAGUAAUACAUCGGAACGUACCUUAUCGUGGGGGAUAACGCAGCGAAAGCUGUGCUAAUACCGCAUAAGCCCUGAGGGGGAAAGCGGGGGAUCGAAAGACCUCGCGCGAUUAGAGCGGCCGAUGCCUGAUUAGCUUGUUGGUGGGGUAAAGGCCCACCAAGGCGAGGAUCAGUAGCUGGUCUGAGAGGACGGUCAGCCACACGGGGACUGAGACACGGCCCAGACGCCUACGGGAGGCAGCAGUGGGGAAUUUUGGACAAUGGGGGCAACCCUGAUCCAGCAAUGCCGCGUGAGUGAAGAAGGCCUUCGGGUUGUAAAGCUCUUUUGUCAGGGAAGAAACACCGGCUCUAACACAGUCCGGGAAUGACGGUACCUGAAGAAUAAGCACCGGCUAACUACGUGCCAGCAGCCGCCGUAA